rnacentral:rRNA from 1 species
GAUGAACGCUGGCGGCGUGCCUAAUACAUGCAAGUCGAGCGAACGGACGAGAAGCUUGCUUUUCUGAUGUUAGCGGCGGACGGGUGAGUAACACGUGGAUAACCUACCUAUCAGACUGGGAUCACUUCGGGAAACCGGAGCUAAUACCGGAUAAUCUUUUGAACCGCAUGGUUCAAAAGUGAAAGACGGUCUUGCUGUAACUUAUCGAUGGAUACGAGCUGUAUUAGCUAGUUGGUAAGGUAAAGGCUUACCAAGGCAACGAUGCAUAGCCGAGCUGAGAGGGUGAUCGGCCACACUGGAGCGGGACCACGGACCAUACGCCUACGGGAGGCACCAGUAGGGAAUCUUCCGCAAUGGGCGAAAGCCUGGCGGAGCAACGCCGCGUGAGUGAUGAAGAUCUUCGGAUCGUAAAACUCUGUUAUUAGUGAAGAACAGAUUUGUAAGUAACUGUGCACAUCUUGACGGUACCGAAUCAGAAAGCCACGGCUAACUACGUG